AGGUAGCUCAAUGGUGGAGCACUCGGCUGUUAACCGAUAGGUUGUGGGUUCGAGCCCCACCCU
rnacentral:tRNA from 1 species